rnacentral:rRNA from 1 species
AUUGAACGCUGGCGGCAUGCUUUACACAUGCAAGUCGAACGGUAACAGGUCUUCGGAUGCUGACGAGUGGCGAACGGGUGAGCAAUGCAUCGGAACGUGCCCAGUCGUGGGGGAUAACGCAGCGAAAGCUGUGCUAAUACCGCAUACGAUCUAUGGAUGAAAGCGGGGGACCGUAAGGCCUCGCGCGAUUGGAGCGGCCGAUGUCAGAUUAGCUAGUUGGUGGGGUAAAGGCCCACCAAGGCGACGAUCUGUAGCUGGUCUGAGAGGACGACCAGCCACACUGGGACUGAGACACGGCCCAGACUCCUACGGGAGGCAGCAGUGGGGAAUUUUGGACAAUGGGCGCAAGCCUGAUCCAGCAAUGCCGCGUGCAGGAAGAAGGCCUUCGGGUUGUAAACUGCUUUUGUACGGAACGAAACGGUCUGGGUUAAUACCCUGGGCUAAUGACGGUACCGUAAGAAUAAGCACCGGCUAACUACGUGCCAGCCGCCGCUGUAACAC